CUCUCAGGUUGGAAGUUAACUUCUUGCACCACCACUAGUGUCCCCCUGGUGGCAGUGAUGGAUGAAGGACGUCAGACACCUGUGGAAUAAUACUGUCUCGUCGUUGCUGGCUCUGUGCGGCAGGAUGAAGGCGGUGCUGCUGAGUGGCCCGCUGCAGGCGUCUGCAGGUUGAGUGAAGUCCAAGCAGCUGCUCAGCACCACGAAGUAGUGAGUGGGGACGGGGAUCAUCCCACUGACAAACCUGCAGGGAAGAGGUCCCCCUUUUGCGGCCAAAACAGCCCUGACCCGUCGAGGCAUGGACUCCACUAGACCUGCCCAUUUGGUAGGUACUGACCACAGCAGACCAGGAACCCCCCAUAAGAGCUGCAGUUUUGGAGGUGCUCUGACCCAGUCGUCUAGCAUCACAAUUUGGCCCUUGUCAAAGUCACUCACAUCCUUACGCUUGUCCAUAUUUCCUGCUUCCAACACAUCAACUUUGAGGACAAAGUGUUCACUUGCUACCUAACAUAUCCCCCCCACUGACAGGUGCCAUUCUAACAAGAUAAUCACUGUUCUUCACUUUACCUGUCAGUGGUCAUAAUGUUUUAGCUGAUCGGUGUAUAUACACAUUAUCUUUUGGACUGUCGAUUUUUUUAAUGUCUGAUCAUUUUUCACCUAUUGCAUGUAUUAAAUCAACAAAACAGAGGAUUGUAUAACACAUCUUACAUUGCAUAUGCAUACAUAUGUGUGAAUUUGGGGUUUCUUUGGGAGUUUUCCCCUGUGCGUUGCUAGGUGUAAGGACAG